rnacentral:rRNA from 1 species
AGUGAACGCUGGCGGUAGGCCUAACACAUGCAAGUCGAACGGCAGCACAGUAAGAGCUUGCUCUUACGGGUGGCGAGUGGCGGACGGGUGAGGAAUACAUCGGAAUCUACUUUUUCGUGGGGGAUAACGUAGGGAAACUUACGCUAAUACCGCAUACGACCUACGGGUGAAAGCAGGGGAUCUUCGGACCUUGCGCGAUUGAAUGAGCCGAUGUCGGAUUAGCUAGUUGGCGGGGUAAGGGCCCACCAAGGCGACGAUCCGUAGCUGGUCUGAGAGGAUGAUCAGCCACACUGGAACUGAGACACGGUCCAGAGUCCUACGGGAGGCAGCAGUGGGGAAUAGUGGACAAUGGGCGCAAGCCUGAUCCAGCCAUACCGCGUGGGUGAAGAAGGCCUUCGGGUUGUAAAGCCCUUUUGUUGGGAAAGAAAAGCAGCAGGUUAAUACCCCGCUGUUCUGACGGUACCCAAAGAAUAAGCACCGGCUAACUUCGUG